rnacentral:tRNA from 1 species
GCGAUGGUGGUGUAGUGGCCAGCAUAGCUGCCUUCAAAGCAGUUGAUCCGGGUUCGAUUCCCGGCCAUCGCA